GACAAACGCUGGCGGCGUGCCUAAUACAUGCAAGUCGAGCGGAUCUAGUCUUCGGACUAGGUUAGCGGCGGACGGGUGAGUAACACGUAGGCAACCUGCCUGCAAGAUCGGGAUAACUACCGGAAACGGUAGCUAAGACCGGAUAAUUGGUUCGGGUGCAUGCCUGGACUAUGAAACACGGGGCAACCUGUGGCUUGCAGAUGGGCCUGCGGCGCAUUAGCUAGUUGGUGGGGUAACGGCUCACCAAGGCGACGAUGCGUAGCCGACCUGAGAGGGUGAUCGG
rnacentral:rRNA from 1 species